rnacentral:tRNA from 1 species
GGCUACCUAGUGCAGUGAUUAGCGCGUCUGCCUUCGGUUUGAAGAUGCAGGAAACGCGGGUUCGAAUCCUGCGGAAGGCA